AUCGUUAGUUGCCAGCUGGUAAAGCAGGGGACUCUAGCGAAACUGCCACCGUAAGGUGAGAGGAAGGUGGGGAUGACGUCAAAUCAGCACGGCCCUUAUGUCCAGGGCUACACACGUGUUACAAUGGCCGGCACAGAGGGCAGCUACCUGGUGACAGGAUGCUAAUCUCGAAAACCGGUCUCAGUUCGGAUCGAAGUCUGCAACUCGACUUCGUGAAGCUGGAUUCGCUAGUAAUCGCGCAUCAGCCAUGGCGCGGUGAAUACGUUCCCGGGCCUU
rnacentral:rRNA from 1 species